rnacentral:rRNA from 1 species
ACGGAGGGUGCAAGCGUUAAUCGGAAUUACUGGGCGUAAAGCGCACGCAGGCGGUUUGUUAAGUCAGAUGUGAAAUCCCCUGGCUCAACCUGGGAAAUGCAUCCGAUACUGGCAAGCUUGAGGCUCGUAGAGGGGGGUUGAAUUCCAGGUGUAGGGGUGAAAUGCGUAGAGAUCGGGAGGAAUACCGGUGGCGAAGGCGGCCCUCUGGCCGAACACUGACGCUGAGCUGCGAAAGCGUGGGGAGCAAACAG